rnacentral:lncRNA from 1 species
CUGGAAAUGAUCUUGAUGCUAUCUGUUCCUCGUUACAGCAGACCUGCUCAACUUCAGCAGCUAGAAGGAGGAUUGUCUUUCACCAGCUGCAGGAGCCUGUUCCCACUACAAGCCUGGUGGAGUCUUCGGAGCAGAUGUGACUGUCCUACUUGUAUAGAGAAGAGAAACUGAGGCUCAGAAGAGAUGCCUGGCUGAGUUUAAUAGGACUGCAACAACAAUUUUGCCUUUCUACUUUCUGGUACAGUGGUCUUUCCUUUGCCAUCAUGCCUCAGCAUAUCCAUGUUAGUAAAUUCUCCCAGUUGGGGAAAAGCUUGGCAGCAAUGAAAGUUAAUGUGAUGAAUCAUUUAGAUGGACAGAUUGGAAAAAUGUUGUUCCUUUUGCAUGUGAUGUUCUUGCCAGAAAUCAAGUAGGUGGAGUUUUUGAAGCGUGAUCAGUUAGAUAAGUAUGGUGGUUUUAAAUAAUCAAGCAUGGAGCCAUACCGGUUAUGUUUAAUUUAUAACAAAAUCAGACAAUUCAGGCAUGAUGUUGAACUCAUUGAGCUUGGCUCACUACUACAUUUCUCUCACCAAAAGCAAUGACUAUAAAGAGUUACAAAUACCAUGACCUUAUAUCAUAAAGCAUAAAUUAUUCCAGGAAGUUUUCCAUUUAAGUCAACUUCUCAAAAUCUUAGGAGAAAACUACCAAUAUUCAGUUCAAACCCCAGAGGCUUAAGGAAAAAUAUUAAUGUUGAAAUAGCAAGUAAGUGGUAGUAUCCUCGCUGUAUGCACAAUUGCAUCUGCUCGGGGGUUAGUCUUUCUUUAGCUCCUGUCUACAACUCACACCAGUCUCCAUAAAAGAAAUGAGGUCUCACUGAUACCAUCUAGCUUAAUGAGAUAAAAAUCCUGGUGAUCUCUGCAAGAAAAUAAAACUAAGAUAAACUAGUAUCUGCUACUGAUAAAUAUUUAACAGAUGUGGUCCAAAUCCCUCUGCCAGCUGGAGGAAGGAAAAAAGUUCUAUUUUACUGCUUGGAUAUAAUUAUUGGCCACAUUUCUCCAAGCAAAGACAGUGACAUUGGCUCACUCCCCAGGAGAACUUUCUUCUGAUCUUGGCACUAGGAUUUGCUUUUCUUUAACAGAUUGCAGCAAUAUACCCUUCAUUUGACCCAGUUUAUUCAUUCAAAAGAUACCUGGAGCCAAAACCAUGUAUGAGAAAUAGCAAAGGAAGAGGCAGGCACAAGCUGUGUUUAUAUACCCACCAAAGGACUACAGCAAAACACAUAUAUUCUAGUCAGCUCUGAGUGCACCUGUCUGUGUCAACAGUAGACCAGCGUGGUCUGGCAGAUGACCAUAUGACCCAGCUGAUUCACUCCGGAGUUAGAGGAACUUUUCCCAGACCCUGAAAGUCACCUUUUUAGACAACUUCGCAAACAGCCAUCCUUGUUCACGGUAUCAUGCCCCUUGUCACUGCUAAACAGACCGUUUGCAAAGAAAUUUCCUAAACAUCACCACUGAGGCUCCUUCCAGCAAUGACUCUGGUCCAUCAUUGGGAUUGCUGAGCAGCUGUUUCAUAACAUGAACAAGGAUGUUUUAACCAUGUUUCUUGACCUGGCCAUUUGGAUCCCAAGGAUGUUUUGGUCCAAGAAUAAAUUCCAGAGCUUAGGUAGGUUACAUACCACAACUAUAUUCAUUUCCUACUUCUAUUCUUUCUCUGUGCAAUCCUUUUCCUAGCACUGUAACUGAAAGUAUUUUUCUAAAACAUUAAUGUGAUCAUACUAUGUCUCUGCUGAAAAGCCAUCAAUCACUAUCUACCUAUUACUGACAAAAACAUGACAUUCUGAUCCCACCUGAUCUGCUCUUUCUCAUCAACAACUCUUCUCCUUAUGUAAUUUCUCACCUGGUGACCAACCACACCCUGCAUGUGCUAUACAUUCAUUUAUGCUUUUUCACCUGCUCAAGGCCCCCAGAAUUAUUUUCAAGUAUUAUUUUUCCCAACACAAAGCAUCAGUCGAUACCUGUAGUAAGUCUGAAGCAUCUCAGAAGCAUUUAUUGACAACCCAGUCUUCUACUCUCCUCUGCCUCCAAACACACAGCACAUACAUUUUGUCCCAAACAUUUGUAGGCCAUCAUUGUCUUUUGCCUGGCAUUUCUUUACUAAUUAAUAUAUAUUUUUAUUCAUGUGUGUAUAUUUAUCUCACCAAUAUUUGGGAGCAGAGCCUAUGUGUUAUUUUAGUUAUACAGGUUGUUGGGUGAUAUGGCUGUGAACCUGAUAUGCUAUAGAUUAUAAGGGGAGGUGGAACCUGUCACACUUCCUCUUCCUCCAUCACUGGUUGUCUGUCUCAAAGCUCACCGAAGAAGACAGGAAAACUUGUCAGAUGGGGAAGGAUGUGUCAAGAGCAUGCACACAGAUUUACUCUUCAGCUAGAAGCUCCAAUUCCUAGAUGAUCUGAAUCCAACUCAGAGUGCUUGCACCUGUUUCCUGCCACACAGCUAGAGCUGUCCAGUGAGAGAGACAUGAUGGCCCAGCUUGAAAAAGAAAUUGAGGAUAGCAAGUGUAACAUACCAAGCAUUCCACGAGCAGAAGUGCCUUUCAUGUCCCACCAUGAUUCUGAGGACCCCCCCAGCCAUAUGGAACUUGUCCCUCUAGGUUCUCUGAUUGGCUGAAGCUACUCUAAGCCAAGAGAUCAAAGAAGCUGAUAAUGUAGAAUGUAAGUUUGUCUCCUGGGCCACAAUGGAAAGCAGAGACUGUAGCUGGAGGAGUGAAUAGAGGAUAUGCAGCUCUGGUAAUUCUCAGUACAAUUCCCAGUGGUCCACUCUGCAGAAUGAACCAAGUUCCAUUUUGCCCAACUUCUGGCAGUCCACAUUUGGACUGUGAGCUCACCUACAGAUAAAUCGUACGUGGAUUGAUGCAGUAACUGGAUUUGUAGCUGCUAAAUCUUAUUUAAGUGAGGACCUGUCCAGUACAUGUGAAGACCACCCAUCCACUGAAAGUGAUAAGUGAAGCUGAAUCAAUACUAGACUGAAUCAAUACUGAGCUGAAUCAAUACUUUCCCAAUUUUGAGGAAAUCUUGGAAAAUCUCUGAGAAAUGUGGUAGUAAUUAUUUUGAAGAAUUGGAAAACUUUAUAGCUGAUUAUGCUAUGUGUGGAAGAUACAACAGGAUUAUAAGAGAGAGAAGACAAUAUCCUUGCUGUGUCCAGAAGGCUUUAGCCGGGGUGUCCUACUGAGAGAUGACAAACUUAAGGUUUUUCUCUUCCCAGACAUUACUGGACAACUAGCUAUGUAAUUAGGUCUUAUGCCGAAAAGACUGAAAGGAAAACAUCUCAGAUCUAGGAAUGUGAUCAAGAAAGAAGGCUGGUUAAAGAAUAACAUGGGGAAAAUGAAUGCAGUGAAAUGGUUCACGCACAAGUUCUAGGAAUUCAGAGUGCAACAGCAGAAAUGCGAUUUUUGUUAGAUAUUUCAGAAAGUGAUGUGAGUCCCUGAGGUCAUACUGCAGCGUUCAGGUUCUGUUUGGCCUCCUGCACGAAGCUUUCCUUGAUUGGAAAAGCUGCAUACUCUGAAGCACAUCGCAUGUGUCCUGUCUGUAGUUCAUUUCAUUUCCCCAGAUUUGUUAUCAUCCACCAUCACUCAUACAAGCCUACCUUCUUCAUGCCAACCUUUGUAAUCUUUCUACCUUGCUAACCUGGUCAUGUCAAGGACCAGCUAAUAAAUAGCAAAGUUGUACCUUGAGCCAAGGUAUCUUGACUCUUAGUCCAGUGCUCUUUAUAUACCUCUGAAGUCUUAUUUGAGCUUCAAAAUUAUGAGUCUGUGCUCUCAAGAUUUUUUUGAAAAUGUACUUAAUGUUGCCCCUAAGCUUUUAUGAGAAAUAAUAAAGUUCUUUCCAGAUUGAAUAUCUAAUAACUCCAUUUCAUUUUAUGCUUUCUCAUGUAUGGAUGUCUAUAACUGGAAUGCUAUUUGGGCUACUGAGAUAUUUUCUUAAUUCUCUGUUUUGUGUUAGUUCUUUUUGUUUGUUUAUUUGACAACCAUAUUUUUGCACCUGAGAUAAAUCUGGCAUUCUAUUCAACUUCAAUUUCAAAGAGAAUCUGAGAAUGUACUGGUAGAACGAUAUUUGAAUACUAAUAUCUUGGAAAUACAGAAAUAAGUAUCAUACAUUUUGUUACAUUCUGUUUGUGUACAAAUAAUAUAAAAAUCAAUGAAUGAGAAUUUCAUAUUUGAAUUGUAUAUGGAUUGAUGCAAUAACUUGAUUUAGACAAUACUUUUUAUGAAGAAAGGUAAAAACAAUAAAAAUAUAGAAUUGCUUAUAGUUUUGUAACAUAUAUGGUCUAGAUACUGUUUAUAUAACAACAAUCCCAAACUCUCCAUGCAAUUCAGGCAAAACUUAUUUGUCCAGAUAUUUGGC